AUUUUGUUCUUGUUGUUUAGAUAGUGGGUGAGUCACAGCUACUAAAGGGUUUAACACUGAUGGUAUGUCUGCUGGGUUACGAGCUUCGGGGAUGAAGCCUGAUCUCGGUCUUGUGACCUGUGAUGUCGAUGUUGUUGCUGCAGUGGUGUUGCUGUGAUUUGUCUCUUUUGCAGGUUUGUUGCAAUGUUGUUCCCUUCUUUCUCAGUUUUUGUGGACAUGCCGCGUACACGUGACUGGUUCCUGGUGUUUGAAACUUCUGCAUUUGUAUGCAGUUUUUCUCGUACUUGUCCGCUUUCUUGAAACUUCCAAAGUCAAAUCCCCAUGUGCUUUGGUUGGUUCUCAAGUAUUUUUUGCUUUGAGAGAUCGCAAGCUUGUCUCCUUUGCAUAGUCUGUAUCAGAUGUUGUUGCAGUCUUUGUUGGGGGAUCUGGAACUCCAUCUUUCACCACCUCCCAUAGCUCUCUGACCAUCAAACUUCAUUGUUAUGUCUCUUCACUUCUUCUUGUUCUUUUUAUUGAACAUGCUCCACAGGGCUUGGAUCCUCAGAGCCCAGAUUCCAUACUUCACUCCCUUGCGUGCCUCUGCCUUCAAUUGAUCUUCAUUCUCUUCCUUGGAUGUGAUGAAACUCCACAUAGUUUCAGACGAUUUGAUACCAGUCGUUGUCAAAACACUUGAAAAUCAAGCUUUGAUUUUUCUUGAACUGAUACAAACUAAUAUGCAAAACUCCAAUACUCUAUUCCUUUGGAAUACUUUGUCGGGAUGAUUUUUAAUGGCAAAGAGAGAUUGAGCAUAACCAAUAGAAUAGAAGAUGAUCAAAAGAGACAGCCGAUUAAAAGGAGAGUCGAAGAUAACACAAAAUUAAAACUUUAUUGAUCUUCAAACCAAAAUCAAAAGGGUGAUGAUAGAACUUGAAGAACAGAUUCGAUUUAGGUUUGAAAG